GACGAACGCUGGCGGCGUGCUUAACACAUGCAAGUCGAACGGAAAGGCCUCUUUCGGGGGGUACUCGAGUGGCGAACGGGUGAGUAACACGUGAGUAACCUGCCCUUGACUUUGGGAUAACUUCAGGAAACUGGGGCUAAUACCGGAUAGGAGCUCCUGCUGCAUGGUGGGGGUUGGAAAGUUUCGGCGGUUGGGGAUGGACUCGCGGCUUAUCAGCUUGUUGGUGGGGUAGUGGCUUACCAAGGCUUUGACGGGUAGCCGGCCUGAGAGGGUGACCGGCCACAUUGGGACUGAGAUACGGCCCAGACUCCUACGGGAGGCAGCAGUGGGGAAUAUUGCACAAUGGGCGGAAGCCUGAUGCAGCAACGCCGCGUGCGGGAUGACGGCCUUCGGGUUGUAAACCGCCUUCGCCUGUGACGAAGCGUGAGUGACGGUAAUGGGUAAAGAAGCACCGGCUAACUACGUG
rnacentral:rRNA from 1 species